UCCGUAGGCGGUGUGGCAAGUCGGAAGUGAAAUCUCUGGGCUUAACUCAGAGGCUGCUUCCGAAACUGCCGUGCUAGAGUGCGAGAGAGGCAAGUGGAAUUGCGGGUGUAGCGGUGAAAUGCGUAGAUAUCCGCAGGAACAUCCGAGGCGAAAGCGGCCUGCUGGAUCGCAACUGACGCUGAGGGACGAAAGCUAGGGGAGCAAACAGGAUUAGAUACCCUGGUAGUCCUAGCCCUAAACCAUCAGGACUUGGGGUUUGCCCUGUACGGGGCAAGUCCCGUAGCUAACGCGUUAAGUCCUGCGCCUGGGGAGUACGGUCGCAAGGCUGAA
rnacentral:rRNA from 1 species